GGUGUGUCCGUAACAAUUUAUAAAAGCAUGCUAAGAGAUGAUCUUUCUUAGGAAGUGUAAAGAUAACACCUCUCUUGUCAACUACGCGAACAUCUGGGCAAGGGUGAGGGUUGUUGUUUCAUAAAUCUGUGGUGCACGGAUGGCUUAUCUGAUGCACUAAAGAUAUGCAAUAUGCAACCUCAAGAUGAAAGAAAAACAACCGCAUUAAACAAGUUCUUGAAACUAGACGUUCCAAAAAACCAAAAGCAGAUGUAUGAGAAAGUUGAGGACAGUUUAGUAGAAGACUGGAAAGACUCAGACUAAUGUAACUGAAACGUUUUGAGAAUAUGUAUAUACAACAUAUGUAAUUAAAAACUUUUACCAAUUUC